rnacentral:rRNA from 1 species
GCCAGCGGCGAUAGCAUGUUGAAUGUACCAAUUCCUGAUGGAUCACUGAAGUUAAGUAACAUUGCGCGUGGUUGGUAUCCGGAAUGG